UACGGGGGGGGCAAGCGUUGUUCGGAAUUACUGGGCGUAAAGGGUUCGUAGGUGGCCUACUAAGUCAUACGUGAAAUCCCUCAGCUUAACUGGGGAACUGCGUCUGAGACUGGAAGGCUUGAGUGCAGGAGAGGAACGCGGAAUUCCUGGUGUAGCGGUGAAAUGCGCAGAUAUCAGGAGGAACACCGGUGGCGAAGGCGGGUCUCUGGGCCGUAACUGACGCUGAGGAGCGAAAGCGUGGGGAGCGAACAGG
rnacentral:rRNA from 1 species